GACGAACGCUGGCGGCGUGCUUAACACAUGCAAGUCGAACGGAAAGGCCCUGCUUGCAGGGUACUCGAGUGGUGAACGGUUGAGUAAUACGUUUGUGAUCUGCCCUGCACUUCGGGAUAAGCCUGGGUAACUGGUUCUAAUACCGGAUAGGAGCCUUUUUUAGUGUGAUUGUUGGAGAGUUUUUUCGGUGUAGGAUGAGCUCGGGGCCUAUCAGCUUGUUGGUGGGGUAAUGGCCUAACAAGGCGGCGGCGGGUAGCCGGCGUGGGAGGGUGGACAGCCACAGCGAGACUGGGACUGGGACAAGACUCAGACGGGAAGGAGAAGUAGCGGAGAGGGAAAAAGGAGAGCGAGCCAGAGGCAGAGACAGCAAGUGGGGGAUGACGGCGAUCGGGUUGUGGUCGCAUAGCGCUAGGGACGGGGAUGUUAAUGACGGUACCGAGAGAAGAAGCACCGGCUAACUACGUG
rnacentral:rRNA from 1 species